AGUGAACGCUGGCGGUAGGCCUAACGCAUGCAAGUCGAACGGCAGCACAGUAAGAGCUUGCUCUUACGGGUGGCGAGUGGCGGACGGGUGAGGAAUACAUCGGAAUCUACUUUUUCGUGGGGGAUAACGUAGGGAAACUUACGCUAAUACCGCAUACGACCUACGGGUGAAAGCAGGGGAUCUUCGGACCUUGCGCGAUUGAAUGAGCCGAUGUCGGAUUAGCUAGUUGGCGGGGUAAAGGCCCACCAAGGCGACGAUCCGUAGCUGGUCUGAGAGGAUGAUCAGCCACACUGGAACUGAGACACGGUCCAGACUCCUACGGGAGGCAGCGGUGGGGAAUAUUGGACAAUGGGCGCAAGCCUGAUCCAGCCAUACCGCGUGGGUGAAGAAGGUCUUCGGGUUGUAAAGCCCUUUUGUUGGGAAAGAAAAGCAGCAGGUUAAUACCCCGCUGUUCUGACGGUACCCAAAGAAUAAGCACCGGCUAACUUCGUG
rnacentral:rRNA from 1 species